rnacentral:rRNA from 1 species
GCCGAACCGUCCAAACGUUAUUCGGAAUUAUUGGGCUUAAAGGGUGCGUAGGCGGCGCCGUAAGUCGGGUGUGAAAUCCCACAGCUCAACUGUGGAACUGCGCCCGAUACUGCGGUGCUAGAGGGAGACAGGGGCGAGCGGAACAGAUGGUGGAGCGGUGAAAUGCGUUGAUAUCAUCUGGAACACCGGUGGCGAAAGCGGCUCGCUGGGUCUCUUCUGACGCUGAGGCACGAAAGCUAGGGUAGAGAACGGG